UACGAGAGGCCCAAACGUUAUUCGGAAUUACUGGGCUUAAAGAGUUCGUAGGCGGCGCAGAAAGUAGGGUGUGAAAGCCCUCGGCUUAACCGAGGAAUUGCGCUCUAAACUACUGUGCUUGAGGAACCUAGAGGUGAGCAGAACUGAUGGUGGAGCGGUGAAAUGCGUUGAUAUCAUCAGGAAUACCGGAGGCGAAGGCGGCUCACUGGGGGUUUUCUGACGCUGAGGAGCGAAAGCCAGGGGAGCGAACGGG
rnacentral:rRNA from 1 species